CCAAACAAGUCUCAAUGGCUACUCUCUGAAGCUUUAUCAUUCUUGUUUGAAAGCCUCCUCCGUAGACUCUUCUCCUUUGUCUAUCAUCUCAGCAAUAAGGAGAGCUCGAACCUUUGCAAAUGGCUUUGAGAAGCAUCUGCUGCGCACUCUGGAUUUCCUGACACAAUAUGAGAAGUGAGGGGUCAAUGAUACCUGAGGACCAUCCUUGAUCUUUUUUCUCUUCUUCUUUCCCCCAGACUUGUCUGAUCGCGUGGAGGUAUCUCCAUCCCUAAGAUUUC
rnacentral:lncRNA from 1 species